CGCCCGUCACACCAUGGGAGUGGGUUGCAAAAGAAGUAGGUAGCUUAACCUUCGGGAGGGCGCUUACCACUUUGUGAUUCAUAACUGGGGUGAAGUCGUAACAAGGUAACCGUAGGGGAACCUGCGGUUGGAUCACCUCCUUACCUUAAAGAA
rnacentral:rRNA from 1 species